GGCAGGAGGGCUGCUGUGAGACCAGAAUUCAAGGUCAGCCUGAGAUGUCUAGCCAGCAACAUGGAUUGCAUGAUACCCACAGGAAGUUCAGAAAGAAAAACAGUGAAGCAAGUCCAGCUCCAGCCAUGGCUGCCAACUGAGCAGGGAGCACAGGGAACAGAAAAUGGGGCUCUGACAAUUUUCCUGAAAGUAAAAGGGCACUUCACCACUGACCAUGUCAUCCCUGUGCUUUCUGUACCCCGAGAAUUCUGCAAAAGACAACAGUCUCCACGGUCCCUCUCAAGCCCUUCAAACAAUUGACUUGACCUCUAGGACUGUGUACUAAAGCCUUCUCUCUUCAAUGUGCUCUGAGUUGAAUGCUUAUUUUUUUUUUAAAAUAGAAUAAGCUGAAUGUCAUUAA